AUGGUGAUGUUUGAGCAGAGAAGAACAAAUGUGGGCAGGUUGCUCGAGGGUCUUGACAGGUACAAUCCCGAAAACCUGGCUACCUUGGAGUGCCACAUGGAAACACAGACCAAGGAGAAUGCCUGUGAUCUGGAAGCCAACCUGGCUGUUCUGAAGCUGUACCGGUUCUACCCAGCCUUCUUUCAGACCACUGUCACUGCCCAGAUCCUGCUGAAGGCCCUCACCAACCUGUCCCACACUGACUUCACUCUGUGCAAGUUCAUGGUUGACCAGGUACAUCAAGAAGCACGGCCGAUCCGACAGAUUUUGGUAUCUUGGGGACCUGCUGGAGACCUGCCACUUCUAGGCCUUCUGGCAAGCCUUGGGUGAAAACAUGGACCUCUUAGAAGGGAUGACUGACUUUAAAGACUCUGUCCGAAAAUUUAUCUGCCAUGUCGUGGGCAUCACCUACCGGCACAUUGACCACUGGCUGCUGGCAGAGAUGCUUGGGUAUCUGGCGGACAGCCAGCCAAAGGUGUGGAUGAGGAAGUACGGCUGGUGUGCCGAUGAGUUGGGGCAGAUCCUCGUCUACAGCCAGGAGGAAAGCAUUAAGCCCAAUAAUAUCGUGGGGAAGAUUGACUUUGACGGUGUGUCCAGCAUCACGGCCUCCUCCCAGUAACUAGAGACUUCUAAUAAAGAUUGUUGACUUAGAAAA